UUCAUUGUGCAGUGGCAGUAUCAGGCCGUGAGGGUUAUCUGAGUUGUGAUUAGUGCUAAUUGAAAACUUUUCACCUGUCUCCUAAUGUACAUAUUAGUUUUCUGGGUUUGUUUUUUUUUUUUAAUUUCCAUGAAUAGA